rnacentral:rRNA from 1 species
GAUGAACGCUGGUGGCGUGCCUAACACAUGCAAGUCGAGCGGUCCGACACUCAACUCAUGAAAUAAUUAAGAAUAAAGCCAAAACUUUCUUCGAAGAAGAGAAAAAAGGUGAUAAUCGAAAUUAUUGUAUGAGUUGAGUGUUGGGUAGCGGCGGACGGGUGAGUAACGCGUGGGCAACCUACCUUGUACAGUGGAAUAACAGUCGGAAACGAUUGCUAAUACCGCAUAAAACUAUAAUAAGGCAUCUUAAAAUAGUCAGAGAUUUAUCGGUACAAGAUAGGCCCGCGUCUGAUUAGCUAGUUGGUGGGGUAAUAGCCUACCAAGGCGACGAUCAGUAGCCGGCCUGAGAGGGUGACCGGCCACACUGGAACUGAGACACGGCCCAGACUCCUACGGGAGGCAGCAGUGGGGGAUAUUGCACAAUGGGGGAAACCCUGAUGCAGCGACGCCGCGUGAGCGAAGAAGGCCUUCGGGUCGUAAAGCUCUGUUUCGAGGGAAGAAAAUGACGGUACCUCGGGAGAAAGCCCCGGCUAACUACGUGCCAGCAGCCCGCGGUAAUACGUAAGGGGCAAGCGNUAUCCGGAAUCAUUGGGCGUAAAGGGUGCGUAGGUGGUCAAUAAAGUCA